UCAGGGAGGCCGCUGCAGCUCCACCGCCGGCGAGGAGCUCCGAGGGAGGGUCGCAGACGUAGCUGCUGCGGAUAAACAGACUUAGUCCCUGUUCUUGCGGAGUUGAAACUUCAAGGUAAAUAUCGUACAGUGUUAAGAGAUAUGAAUAAAGUCAAUUUGGUUUGAAGGUGGUAUAAGAUUUUUUCUAGAGGCAAUACUAACAUUGGUGAGGAGAUAUUCUAGAUGGAAAGGACAACAUGAGAAAAAACUAUUGAUAGUUGGCAAGAAAAAACUUGGUGCCUAUAGGAAGCCUCAAGCAGUGUUGCUGGACUCCAUUGUUAGGAAGUAAGGUGAAUCCAGAGAUGAAAUAAAAGAGGUGGAUAGGGCCCAGGUGUUGGAGCUCCUUGCAUGCCGUGCCAUAGAAUUUGGCUUUAUGUUAGAAGCAGUGUGGAAUCAGUGAAGGAUUUUAGAGAAGCAGAGGGUCAUGGCCAGGUUUCCCCGUAUUGGAUAGAUGACUGGAUGGAGUGAGGGAAUACAUUUGCCAGGAGCCAGAGGCAGGGAGAUGAAAUAGAUAAACAGGCUCUUGCAGAACCCUAGGUGAGAGGUGAUGAAGUAGACCUUGUCUAGCAGUAGAAAGGCUAGAAUUAAGAGUACAGAUAGAUUUUCUUCAGGUUUUGAGGGAAAGGGCUAUAGGUAAAAAUUGAAGAAUAUCUUCAGGUAGUGGAAGAAAUUUCAAUCAAAUUUUAUGUUUCUGCAACAGUUUUUUAUUUGUACAGAUAUUACCCGGCAUGUAGUAUGUGCACAAUAAAUAUUUGUUGACUUGAUGAAUCAGUAAGUUUUUCUUUUUUUCCCCAGUUUUACUGAGCAAUAAUUGACACAUCUCUGUGUAAGUUUAAGGUGUAUAGCCUGAUGAUUUGAUUUAUGUUUGAUUUCAUUACACAAGUAAUACAUUGUAGGGAAAACAUGAUUUUGGGAACAGCAAACAGAAUAAGCUCAAAAAAUAAAAAUUACCCAUAGUCUCAUCAACCUGGAAAUAACCAAAAUGUGAACAUUUUUGUGUCUAGAAUUGAGAGACCUUACAGUAAAAAUUGAUGGUAUUGUUCACAUUAUUAUGUAGCCUGUUUUUUUCCCGUAAGAACAUUGUUGAUCCACUUUCCUUACCAGUAGACAUUUCUAUACUGUCAUUUUUUUUUUUAACAUUUGUUUAUUUUUGAGACAGAGAGAGAGAGCAUGAACAGGGGAGGAGCAGAGAGAGAGGGAGACACAGAAUCCAAAACAGGCUCCAGGCUCCGAGCUGUCAGCACAGAGCCCGACGCGGGGCUCGAACUCACGGACUGUGAGAUCCUGACCUGAGCCGAAGUCGGACGCUUAACCGACCAAGCCACCCAGGCGCCCCUAUACUGUCAUUUUUAAUGCUGCAUAGCAUCCCAUUGUGAGGAUGUUCUAUAACUUAUAUAACCAGGUCCUUUUCCAAAUAGUGUAAUAUCAGAAUGACCUAGGAAAUGUGUGAGUAAAGAGGUGCCUUUUAAUAAAGUUUGUUUCUUAAAAAAGAAACCAUUAAGGAAACCCUUUACAUUUUCAAAGAAAUUGCUUAUUCUGUUACAGUUUCUGCUGCAUUAAUUUCUUCAGCCACAGACUUGAGUUUAUCAUUGAUUUAAAAAUACCCAUAACUUAGUACUGUCUAGAAGUGCCUACAAGACCAUAGUUGUGUGACCAUGAACCAUGUUUCUUAAUCUCUUGAAGUCUUCUGUAAAAAAUACAGUAACACUUUGAUUAUCAAGAAUUGCCUAAAAAGUAUGAAUUAUGGAGUAGUAAAUAGUCAGAAUAGGCUUAUUCUCUUAAGUAAUUUUCCAUGGCUUUUGAGUUGUUGACACCACUUUGCAGCUCAUCGCUGCUUCAUUUCCAAGCCACCACUUCAGUAGGAGUGAGUGGCAUUUUCAAGGAUUGUGUUUUCAGUUUUAGAAAUUUUUUUCAAUUUCAGAAUUUUCAUUUGGUUCUUUUUUAUAGUGUCUAUUCGAUUUUUUUGUUCAUUGAAGUGUUUUUUUUUUCAAACAUGGGUGUAGCAGUUUUGAAAUUGUUGUGUGGUAAUCUCCAUUUACUGUCUUCUCUUUUAAAAAUGGGCUGUUGAGUAAUUUUGAAUUGUAUCCUGGACAUUGUGAACAAUGAAUCAUAGAGACUCUCAAUUUUUCUAAUUUCUCCAUAAGUGUUUGUUGUGGCAGGCUGUUAACUCAGUUGAACUUGAACUAUAAUCCAGCUCCCUUGUAGGCAGCACCUCAAAUACCGGUUGAGUUCUUUUAGCUGGGCUGCCUGGAGUUGGCCCCAUGUGCAUGCAGGCCUUGGGGUCAGCCACGGAAUUUGGGGCUUCUCUCUGGCUUACUUUUCUGGGAUUUCGCACUUUCCCAUGCCUGUUGUCCCAUACUGUUCUGUGGUUCUUCAAGCCAUUAAGACUGCAGGUUUUCUCUUUUGGUUUUAGUUGCCCAGCACAGGCCUGUGGGCCUGCUUUUAGGCUAAAAGAUAUAGAGUGUAAAGCAAAAAAACCUUCAUUGGCUUCUUCUAAGUAUAGACUCCCUUUGGUGUCUUCCUGCAUUUGGUUGUUUUCCAAUGCCUUCAGAAAGUGUUUUGGUUUUUUAAAAAUAAUUUGCCCAGUGUUUAUAGUUGUUAGUGGUUUGGCCUGAUAAUAUCUACUCAGCCACUCUAGAAGUAGAACCUCCUGUAGUGGCAUUUUUCUUUCUAAACUUUAAGUUUUGUAGAAUGGACUGUUUUCUCAUUUCAUUAGAGAUCAUUUUAAACCUGAUUUUGCAGUGUCCCAGGGUAUCUCCAUUUUGACUCAAGGACUCUAAAGGAGUUCUUUAACAACAACAACAACAAAAAAGGCAUUUGUAUUAGUGUUUUUAUUGCUACUAUUACAAAUUACCAUAAACUUAGUGACAUAACACAGAUUUAUUGUCUUAUGAUUGUGUAAAUUAAAAGUUUGACAUGGAUCUCACUGGGCUAAAAUCAAGGUGUUGGUAGAGCUAUUGGAAUACUGUAGGGGACAAGCCAUUAUUUUGACUUUUCUAGCUCCUAGAAAAAGCUGCCCUUAUUUGUUGGCUCAUGGCUCCUUUCUUCCAUCUUCAAAGCCAGCAAAGGCAGGUUAAGCUGUUGCAUCACUGACCCUGCGUCCAUCAUUUGUGACAUAUCCUUCUCUAACUUUGUUCCCUCUUUCACAUUUAAAGGGCCCUGAUAAUCCAGAAUAGGAAUCUCCCUAUUUUAAGGUCAACUAAUUAGUAAUCUUAAUUCCAUCUGCAACCAUAUUUCUCUCUUGCUAUGCAUACUAAUACAUUCACAGCUUUCCAGCAUUAGGAAAUGGGUAUUUGGGGGGCACUAUUACUCUGCCUGCCAUGGCCUUAAACACUUCAGGGGAAAGAGAAAAUAGGCAAAAUUUUUGUUUAUUCAGUGAGGUUUAAUAGACUGCUACUGCAUACUACAAAUUCAUAUCUUUUAUAUUGGAGAUGUAAACUCAGUCUCCAUUUCAAAGAUAUAAAUAGCUGUACUUCCCUUCUCUUUGCAUACUGUUUAAUAACAGCUCAGUACAUUGGGUAAUAAAUAAUAGGUUCGUUGACCAUGUCAGUCUGGUUUUCCAUUGAGAAACCUUGACUCACCCACUACUUUUUGAGUCAGAUCAGGAAACCUGUUAUAAAUUGGUUGCAGGAGAUUUUUUUCAUUCAACAAGCACUAAAGAUUUAACGUUUAAACACACUUUUUCUUUGCCUUGUUGGUGGAGAGGGAAAAUGCCUUAUACGUGGGAUACUUUUCUGGGUGUUAUCCCAUUUUGUACAUGAGACAGCUGAUGAUUCCCAGACAAAUAUGCCCCAAAUUACACAGUAGUAGGAGCCUGAACUGGGUUUGUUUGCAAGUCCUAUUUUUGUUUCUUCUUUUUAAUUUAUUUUUCUUAAGUUGCUCAAAUUUACCGAGGGAAGUUGGCAUGUUUGGUAAAGAUUUAAGUUUUAUAGAUGCUAUAAUAGUAGAAUAGUUUGUCAGUGUGAUCAGAAACCAGGGAAGUGAUUUCACUGUACUUAAAGGAAGAGAGCAGAGGGGAUAAGAAGAAGAGGUUAACUUUGGUCAUGAUGGGUGCAAUUUUGUUCCUAAGGAGAUACCAUGAUAGUUCCUUGUCAUCACUGACUAAAAUAUUCCUUAAUAUCCCUCAGUACUUCCAGAGAUUCUGGGUUGGAAAAGAUAGCCUAGCAUUUCUUGUUCUUGGCAUCCUUAAAUUUUGAAGACCAUUCAGAAAAUCCAUCAUCUGCAUGUUAGGAUAUAGAUGCCAUACACUCUAAAGCAGUAAAUCCCAAACUUGAUUAAAAGAAUCGUCUCUAUGCUCUGUCUCUCUCUGUCUCAAAAAUAAAUAAACGUUAAAAAAAUUAAAAAAAAAUCGUCUAUGAUGCUUUAAAAAUACACAUACUUGUGGCACCUGCAUGCUCAGUCAGUUAAGCGUCCAACUUGAUUUCGGCUCAGGUCAUGAUCUCAAGGUUCAAGAAUUGGAGCCCCAUAUUGGGCUCUGUGCUGACAGUGUGCAGCCUGCUUGAGAUUCUCUCUCCCUCUCUGUCUCUCUCUGCUCUUCUGCUUGCUCUCAAUCUCUUUCUCUAAAAUAAAUAAAUACACCUACUUUGGGGGCACCUGGGUAGCUCAGUUGGUUGAGUAUCCGUCAUUGGUUCAGGUCAAGAUCUCAUGGUCAUGAGAUGGAGCCCUGUGUGGAGUCUGCUUGGGACUCUGUCUGCCUCUCUCUCUGCCCCUCCACUGCUCUCAUGCAUGCACUUGCUCUCUCAAAAUAAAUAAAUAAAAGUUUAAAAAAAAAAAUACACAUACUUGAGCUCCACCCGGUCAUAGGUUUACUAAAUUUUAAACAAUAUAUGCUUGUCUGAGUAUUAGUCCCUAAGACUAGAAAAUAAGGCAACUUAUAUUUACAGAGCAUUUGUUCAUGUUUAUUUGAUUUUCAAAUUAAACAAAAAAAAAUUGUGCUUAGGUUUUACCAAUUCUUUUUUUUUUAAUGUUUAUUUAUUUAUUUUGAGAGAGAGAAGGAGAGAGGGCAGAGAGAGGGGGAGAGAGAGAAUCCCAAGCAGGUCUGAGCUGUCCGCACAAAGCUGGACAGGGGCCCCUAACUCGCGAACCAUUGAGAUCAUGACCUGAGCCGAAAUCAAGAGUUGUGCGCUUAACCGACUGAGCCACCUAGGCACCCCUUACCAGUUAAUUCUUUAGGCCAAAAGCUCUUCAAAUCACUUAACCUUUUGAAAAUGAAUGUUUGCUCCUACAGUCAACUUGUAAUUAUUUAGGGUCUUACUUGUUUUUGUGAUUAUUGAGGCCUAUAGCUUGGCCAUUUUAUUUCCUUCAUUUUAAUGGAGCACACGAAGAAAAGAUAACAGGAAAUUGGGAGUGUUACUGUUUAAUUAAAGUUCCAGUAAUAAUAAUAAUGAUAAUAAUGAUAGUGGCCAGUACACGAGUACUUAUAAUGAUACUUUGCUAAAUAUUUCAUCUCAUUUCAUCUUUAACAGUUUAAGAUAGGUAUUGCUGUGAUUUUAUAGGUAAGCAUACUUAGGUAUGGAGAGGUAGAGUGACUUGCCCAAGGUUACCAUACUAGAAUUGGCAAAGGUGUGACUGAACCUAGGUCUGCUGGCUAAAAUGAUACUUGGACAUUUCAUUUCUAGGAAGUAUCCCUAUCGUUAGAAUAUUUGAGUGUUGCUUAUAUCCGCAUUGGAUUUUACAUGUUUAAAGAGUGCUUUGUUUAAUUUAUGGUCAGGAUAGACAGUAUUGUUGCUGUUGAUAUGGUUAUCUUAAUCUGUAAUGCUCCUGUAAUACCUGGGCUUUUUGGGUAGCUUUUCUGUUACAUAAUUUGGCCAAAUUUUGCUUGUUAAUUCUCUUACACAGUGCUAGAAAAAUCCGAUUUCUUUAAUCUGAAUUAACAUUUUUAAAUUAUUGAUGGAAUUUUAUUUGGAAGACAUUUGUAAGAGCCCUCCCAUGUAUAGUUGAAAAUAUUAACAAAACUUAAUUUCUGUAGUCAGGAAAACUUAUGUUUGGCUUUUCAUUUAUUUAGCUGUGUGAUCUGGGAAAAGUUUUUUCUUUUGUCCUUUGCACCUUAGUUUCCACAUUUGUAAAACUGGGGAUGAUAAUAAUACCUAUAUGGUAGGGGUUGCUGGGAGAAGUAAAUGAGUUACAGCAUUUGUAAAGUUUGUAGCACGUAUUUGAUGCAGAGUUAGCACUUGUAUUUAUUAUCACUAUCCUUGAAAUAGAUCUCACAGUUACUAUUAGCUCAUCCAUCAUCUACUUUAUUAAACCCAAAUGGAUUGAAAACUUAAAAAUGUAGGGAAUACCUACUCUGAGUAUAUUAUACAUAAAGCUCUUGGGAGCUUUUUGUUUUCUCUGCAUGUCUUUGCUCUAGACAGCUGAAAGAAAUGGCUUUUGCUUAAGCUGGCAGUGAGGGAGGCUGUAGGUAAUAGGUGAGUAGAUAAUUGGUGAACAAUGGGAAGAAAGUACAUUGGGAGCCAAUAUCACUUUCCCUUUACCAGAUGUUUCACAUGUGAGUUGUGACCCCCCCCCCCCCCCGCUGGUGCACACAUAUAUUGUGGAUUUAAUCUAAAUAUUCAGGGUAGUGUGAAACGUAUAUUCCUUGCCUGAAUUGGUUGCUAAUAAAGGAAAACAUUUUUUCUGUUGCCUGACCUUAGUCCUGUCUUUCUAACUAAUUAGGUUACUGAUUCUGUCAGUUUUGUCUUGCAGCUUCCUUGUCCUUUAUUAAGUUCCUCUGGCUGGAUGUGGCCUUUUAAAGUGCAAAUGUCUGAUAGAACUGAAAAGUGAACAGAGUGGAUACUGUUAAUGUUUGAGCAACAGGAGAAACUAAAAAGACAAAUGUAGGGCCCAUGAAAGAUUCUGUUCUUGGGGAGUGGGUGGAAGAGUGUCAAAUUUAAAUUAUCGUCAUUUUGAGCUACCGGUAUUGGUAAUACAAAUAGUGAUUAAAAAGGGAAGGGCUAAUCAAGCUGAGGACUUAAAUCCAAAAGGCUUGGGCUCAGACUCCAUCUCUGUCACUAAUUGUGUAGUAUAAGGCAGGUUACGGUUUCUGAGCCUAAGUUUCUUUAAAAGUAAAAUGGAAAUAAUAAUAACUAACCAUAGAUUUUUGAGGAGUCAGUGAAAAAAGGUGUGUUGAAGUAUACUUAACACAAAGCCACUUGAGUUGAAUUCAAAGAAAACACUGCCACUAUUUGCUGUAAAUCCUCUGUUCCUUCUUCAGAAGUGUUUCAACACUCUGAAAAAAGAAUAAGCUAGAAUCGAAGCCCACUAUUAAUUCUGAGCUAUAUGUCAAAUUAUGUUCUUGUCUAUUUUAAAAAAAGUUACUUGAAUUUUCAACUGGUGUUCACUGUAUUCAAAUGGAAUCCAUUGAAGCAUAGAUACUUCAGAGUUCAGUGAGAAGCCAGACUCUAGUCUGGUGAAAAGAGUAGACUCUAAGGGGGGAAUCUCUGCUUACUCUUCAAAUCAGUCCAGCCUAGUCUAGUUUUAAGACCGAUAAUGGGUCCUGGAAUACCUCUUCAUUCCAAGGUGAAACUAAAAUCAAAUGGUUUAUUAACUAGUGCAAAGAUGUUAAUUCAGACUUUUCAUAUCUUAUUUAUUCCUUUAUUGCAAGUGUCUGAUGUGGAUGUUAUAACGAAUAUAAAACAGAUGAAGCUUUUAAACAUCUCAAAAAACAGGUUAGCUUUGAAAAUGGCCACUUGCUAACUUGAUAAGGGCUAAUGUUUAUCAGUUUACCCUAUUUCACUUGGUUUAUUUUAUAAACAAAUUAUCUGAGCCUUUUUUCUACUACCUUGAAGUUGGCUUCAGACAUGGAAAUUAAGUUGCUCAAAUGCUAUGCUAAUACACACACACACACACACACACACACAUAUUUAGGUUUUUUAUAGGGACAGAAGAGUGGCAUUUACUGUUUUUUUUCAAAAAAGGCUUUUAAAAAAACAGUAAAUAGCUUGUUUUAAAUAAAGGACAUACAUAUAUCCCUCAGUCUCUAAAUGGGAACGUGGUGAGCCAAUGGAGGAGGCAGGUCUUUUCAUUUCAAAUCUGUCUCCCUGUGUAUGGAUGCAUUCCUGGUUUUCUUAAGCUCUUUGAUUUCCUAGAUUUACUCUGUUCUUCUAGAGCUCUGAUUUCAUCAAAUAGUUCCAUUCAAGUGGCUGAUAAUAAGGCCAUAACCUUGUAGGCAUUAGACCUAAGAUUUAAUGCUCGUUCUACCAAUAAUUAGUUAUGAGAAGUUUUCAUAACUCAUUUAAAUCUGUAUUUUCUUGAAGUAAUACCCAUCUUGCAUGAAAGUUGUAAGAAUUAAAUGUGUAAAAAAGCUUAGUGCCUGACAUAUAGUACUACUAUAAAAAUAGCUAAUGAUAGGUAACACUAAUAUAGUACUUACUAUGUGUAGGCAGCAUAUUAAGCACUUUACAUGGAUUAUCUCUUUUAAUCAUUACAAUAAUCCUAUGAAGUA